rnacentral:rRNA from 1 species
GAUGAACGCUGGCGGCGUGCCUAAUACAUGCAAGUCGAGCGAACAGACGAGGAGCUUGCUCCUCUGACGUUAGCGGCGGACGUGUUAGUAACACGUGGAUAACCUACCUAUAAGACUGUGAUAACUUCGGGAAACCGGAGCUCAUACCGGAUAAUAUAUUGAACCGCAUGGUUCAAUAGUUAAAGACGGUUUUGCUGUCACUUAUAGAUUGAUUCGCGCCGCAUUAGCUAGUUGGUAAGGUAACGGCUUACCAAGGCAACGAUGCGUAGCCGACCUGAGAGGAUGAUCAGCCACACUGGAACUGAGACACGGUCCAGACUCCUACGGGAGGCAGCAGUAGGGAAUCUUCGGCAAUGGGCGAAAGCCUGACGGAGCAACGCCGCGUGAGGGAAGAAGGUCUUCGGAUCGUAAAACGCUGUUAUUAGGGAAGAAAAGAUGUGGAAGAAAAUAUGCACGUCUUGACGGUACCGAAUCAGAAAGCCACGGCUAACUACGUG